UAUUACGCUAAACAGACAGACUUCAUUUUGCUUUUCAAAAUUUCAAAUUCUCGAAUCUCCAACGUCUCCUUUUCCCUCCGCCACCGUCUCCGUCGUCCGCCCCGUCGUCCGCCCUGCCCUCUACUGGGAAAUACUAUCUAGUUGAUUCUAGAUACCCUAUGAUAAAAUGCUAUUUGCAGCCAUACAAGGGAGCUAACACACCAUCUUGCAGAUAUUUGACGAAGAAGCAGAGGACUAGAGGAUCAAGAGGCAUACAAGAAAAUUUUAUCAAACUACACGAUAAGGGUUCAAGCGAUAGCUUAGUCAUAUUGGCAUCUUUUGUGGUGCCCCACGUUUGUGGUUUGAAUCUCCUCUCUCACUACUCUACUUAGAGCUUUGCUCUUUGCCAUUGUGGCCCCCGUCUCUUCCUCUCAGGACGUCUGGCUUGGAAAGUUUGUUGAUGUUAUUAAGAUUGUAAUGUAGUUUGACUAGAUUUUUUAUUGUAAUUUUCUCUAAGGCACUAUGUUCUCCCUAGUAUAUACUCUCUUUUGUAAAUAUUUUAUUAUCAAUAUAUCUACCGAUAUGUUACAAGAAAAAGGUAGUGAUGAGCAAAAAAGAUGAGAUCUUUCUCUAGAUGAUUGUUUUUCGUGAAAACAUUUCUGAAUUCAUUUUUGGGUUGUAAUUUUUA